GAUGAAGAACGCAGCGAAAUGCGAUACUUGGUGUGAAUUGCAGAAUCCCGUGAACCAUCGAGUCUUUGAACACAAGUUGCGCCCGAAGCCAUUAGGCCGAGGGCACGCCUGCCUGGGCGUCACACGUCGUUGCCCCCCCAUCUACUCCUUCGGGAUUGCGGGGGGCGGAUGAUGGCCUCCCGUGCGCCUCGUCGCGCGGUUGGCAUAAAUACCAAGUCCUCGGCGACGCACGCCACGACAAUCGGUGGUUGCGAAACCUCGGUUGCCCGUCGUGUGCGGUCGUCGCGCAUCGAGGGCUCGAAAAAAUUGCCGGGCUCCGGCUCGGCUUUCAACGCGACCCCAGGUCAGGCGGGGUUACCCGCUGAAUUUAAGCAUAUCAAUAAGCGGAGGA
rnacentral:misc_RNA from 1 species